UAAAGUAAGAAAGAGCGUAUGGCGGAUGCCUAGGCACAGAGAGGCGAAGAAGGACGCAGCAAACAGCGAAAUGCGACGGUUAGCAGUAAGCAUGCAACGAUCCGUCGAUGUCCGAAUGGGGGAACCCACCUGGAGUAGAGACCAGGUAUCCUGAAGUGAAUAAAUAGCUUCAGAGAGGCGAGACUCAGGGAACUGAAACAUCUAAGUACCUGAAGGAAGAGAAAAUAAACGAAUGAUUCCCUAAGUAGCGGCGAGCGAAAGGGGAAGAGCCCAAACCGAUCUUAGGAUCGGGGUUGUAGGACUGUCGGCAAAGAGCAAGAAAUCAUUAUAGGCGAACGGAAUGGGAAGUCCGGCGAAACAGGGUGACAGCCCCGUAGCCGAAAUAGUGAAGAAGCACGAGACAGCACCUGAGUACGGCGGGACACGAGGAAUCCUGUCGGAAUCCACCAGGACCAUCUGGUAAGGCUAAAUACUCCUCUGUGACCGAUAGUGAACCAGUACCGUGAGGGAAAGGUGAAAAGAACCCCGGGAGGGGAGUGAAAUAGAACCUGAAACCAUAUGCUUACAAGAAGUUAGAGCCCGUUAAAGGGUGAUAGCGUGCCUUUUGUAGAAUGAACCGGCGAGUUACGAUAUGGAGCGAGGUUAAGCAGGAUAUGCGGAGCCGAAGCGAAAGCGAGUCUUAAUAGGGCGAAAGUUGCAUGUCGUAGACCCGAAACCGAGUGAUCUAGCCAUGACCAGGUUGAAGUUGGGGUAAAACCCGAUGGAGGACCGAACCGACCCCCGUUGAAACGUUGGCGGAUGAGUUGUGGCUAGGGGUGAAAUUCCAAUCGAACUCGGAGAUAGCUGGUUCUCCCCGAAAUAGCUUUAGGGCUAGCGUCGAGGUAAAGUCGUGUGAAGGUAGAGCACUGAAUAUGUGAUGGCCCCAUCUCGGGGUACUGAACAUAAUCAAACUCCGAAUGUCACAAAGAUAUACUCGGCAGUCAGACAGUGGGUGAUAAGGUCCAUUGUCAAAAGGGAAACAGCCCAGACCAUCAGCUAAGGUCCCAAAAUAUAUACUAAGUGGAAAAGGAUGUGGAGAUGUCCAGACAACUAGGAGGUUGGCUCAGAAGCAGCCAUCCUUUAAAGAGUGCGUAACAGCUCACUAGUCGAAUGACUCUGCGCCGAUAAUUUACCGGGGCUAAGUAUAUUACCGAAGCUAUGGAUUUACGCGUAAGCGUGAGUGGUAGGGGAGCGUUCUAUGUGCGGAGAAGCGGUACCGUAAGGAGCCGUGGAGCGCAUAGAAGAGAGAAUGCCGGUGUGAGUAGCGAAACGUGGGUGAGAAUCCCACGCACCGAAAACCCAAGGUUUCCAGAGGAAGGUUCGUCCGCUCUGGGUAAGUCGGGACCUAAGGCGAGGCCGAGAGGCGUAGUCGAUGGACAACAGGUAGAGAUUCCUGUACUUACGGUAUGAAUGAUGGAGUGACGGAGAAGGCUAGCGGAUCCUGCUGAUGGAAAUGCAGGUGCAAGCGAGGUAGCCGACAGCCAGGCAAAUCCGGCUGUCGAAAGGCAAAGGCGUGAGGCGUAUGGAAAGCUGCGGCAAGUACAGAAGUCCGUGAAGCCAGCUUCCAAGAAAAGCUUCUAGUGAUAAUCAUACAGUAACCCGUACCGAAAAUGGACACACAUGGGUGAGGAGAGAAUCCUAAGGUGAGCGAGAGAACUAUAGCUAAGGAACUCUGCAAAAUGACUCCGUAACUUAGGGAUAAGGAGUGCUCAUAGAGAUAUGAGCCGCAGUGAAACGGCCCAAGCGACUGUUUACCAAAAACACAGCUCUAUGCUAAGUCGAAAGACGACGUAUAUGGGGUGACGCCUGCCCGGUGCUGGAAGGUUAAGAGGAUGUGUCAGCGCAAGCGAAGCAUUGAAUUGAAGCCCCAGUAAACGGCGGCCGUAACUAUAACGGUCCUAAGGUAGCGAAAUUCCUUGUC
rnacentral:rRNA from 1 species